UCCAUCCAGGCCUCGCCUUAUGCCUU
rnacentral:piRNA from 1 species